AUUGAACGCUGGCGGCAUGCCUUACACAUGCAAGUCGAACGGUAACGGGCCUUCGGGUGCUGACGAGUGGCGAACGGGUGAGUAAUACAUCGGAACGUGCCCGAUCGUGGGGGAUAACGAGGCGAAAGCUUUGCUAAUACCGCAUACGAUCUACGGAUGAAAGCAGGGGACCGCAAGGCCUUGCGCGGACGGAGCGGCCGAUGGCAGAUUAGGUAGUUGGUGGGAUAAAAGCUUACCAAGCCGACGAUCUGUAGCUGGUCUGAGAGGAUGAUCAGCCACACUGGGACUGAGACACGGCCCAGACUCCUACGGGAGGCAGCAGUGGGGAAUUUUGGACAAUGGGCGCAAGCCUGAUCCAGCCAUGCCGCGUGCAGGAUGAAGGCCUUCGGGUUGUAAACUGCCUUUGUACGGAACGAAAAGCCUUCUUUUAAUACAGGAGGGUCAUGACGGUACCGUAAGAAUAAGCACCGGCUAACUACGUG
rnacentral:rRNA from 1 species